UAGUGUGUGUGUUGGGUGAAGCGGUAGUGAUCAGCUGAUGUCUCUCUCUGACCACCAGCAGCCUGUCAAGCUGUUUGGAGGCUCAGAAACAACCAACCGAGCGGUUCAUUCAUCAAUAAGACAUAGAGGUGAAAGUUGUUCCUGUUGUUCUUUGUCUCUUGUGUUGAUUGAAGCCUUCAAUGACUCUGAUCAGGACAUUAAGAGGAUGUUUUGGGGCAGAUUGUCUCUUUAAAAGCAGCUGAAGGAGACUCAGGUGAGCUCCGUCAUUAGAAACUGGAUCAAAGCUCUUCUCCACCAGGCGGCGCCACUCUGAGUCUCAGAGACCAGAAGAUCCUGAUCUGGAUCAUCAUGAACCUGCUUUGAGAAGCUGUGAUGUCAUCAGUCCUCCAUCUUGGACUGGAACAAGGCGUCUGAUCCAGAGGACGACGGUCAGCAGUUUGGACGAAUUGCCCCGAAACUUUCAAAAUGUUCUUAUUUUAUUUUAUGUUGAUACAUGUAGUAGGGUGACUUUUCCAGAAAUGUCAAAAAACACCAUAUUUUCAGAUGUCCAAAAUUUGAAUUUUGAAAAACAAAGUCAUACUAUAGCAUGUUGAAUUUUUUGGGGAAAAAAUCAUACAUUUUUCAAAUGCCCCGAAACUUUCAAAAUUGUCUUAUUAUAGUCUGUUAAUACAUGUAGUAGAAUAU